rnacentral:rRNA from 1 species
CCUACGCGCGGCAGCAGUGGGGGAUAUUGGACAAUGGGGGGAACUCUGAUCCAGCGACGCCGCGUGAGUGAAGAAGUAUUUCGGUAUGUAAAGCUCUGUCAGCAGGGAAGAAAGAAAUGACGGUACCUGACCAAGAAGCCCCGGCUAACUACGUGCCAGCAGCCGCGGUAAUACGUAGGGGGCAAGCGUUAUCCGGAUGUACUGGGUGUAAAGGGGGCGCAGACGGCAAUGCGAGCCAGGAGUGAAAGCCGGGGGCCCAACCCCGGGACUGCUCUUGGAACUGCAUGGAUGGAGUACAGGAGGGGCAGGCGGAAUUCCUAGUGUAGCGGUGAAAUGCGUAGAUAUUAGGAGGAACACCGGUGGCGAAGGCGGCCUGCUGGACUGUGACUGACGUUGAGGCCCGAAGGCGUGGGGAGCAAACAGGAUUAGAUACCCGGGUAGUC